rnacentral:tRNA from 1 species
GGGCCCAUAGCUCAGUUGGUUAGAGCAUCUGACUCAUAAUCAGAGGGUCGUAGGUUCGAGUCCUACUGGGCCCA